rnacentral:rRNA from 1 species
CCCGGGGCGCCCCCCGGGCGGGGCGGGGGCACGGGGGUUGGAGGGCAAGUCUGGUNCCAGCAGCCGCGGUAAUUCCAGCUCCAAUAGCGUAUAUUAAAGUUGUUGUGGUUAAAAAGCUCGUAGUUGAACCUUGGGCCUGGCUGGCCGGUCCGCCUCACCGCGUGUACUGGUCCGGCCGGGCCUUUCCCUCUGUGGAACCUCAUGCCCUUCACUGGGUGUGCAGGGGAAACAGGACUUUUNCUUUGAAAAAAUUAGAGUGCUCCAGGCAGGCCUAUGCUNGAAUACAUUAGCAUGGAAUAAUAAAAUAGGACGUGCGGUUCUAUUUUGUUGGUUUCUAGGACCGCCGUAAUGAUUAAUAGGGACAGUCGGGGGCAUCAGUAUUCAAUUGUCAGAGGUGAAAUUCUUGGAUUUAUUGAAGACUAACUACUGCGAAAGCAUUUNCCAAGGAUGUUUUCAUUAAUCAGGAACGAAAGUUAGGGGAUCGAAAACGAUCAGAUACCGUUGUAGUCUUAACCAUAAACUAU